rnacentral:rRNA from 1 species
AGCGGAGGAAAAGAAACUAACAAGGAUUCCCCUAGUAGCGGCGAGCGAAGCGGGAAGAGCUCAAAUUUAUAAUCUGGCACCUUCGGUGUCCGAGUUGUAAUCUCUAGAAGUGUUUUCCGCGUUGGACCGCACACAAGUCUGUUGGAAUACAGCGGCAUAGUGGUGAAACCCCCGUAUAUGGUGCGGACGCCCAGCGCUUUGUGAUACACUUUCAAUGAGUCGAGUUGUUUGGGAAUGCAGCUCAAAUUGGGUGGUAAAUUCCAUCUAAAGCUAAAUAUUGGCGAGAGACCGAUAGCGAACAAGUACCGUGAGGGAAAGAUGAAAAGCACUUUGGAAAGAGAGUUAACAGUACGUGAAAUUGUUGGAAGGGAAACGCUUGAAGUCAGACUUGCUUGCCGGAGCUUGCUUCGGUUUGCAGGCCAGCAUCAGUUUUCCGGGGUGGAUAAUAACGGUUUGAAGGUAGCAGUCUCGGCUGUGUUAUAGCUUUCCGUUGGAUACAUCCUGGGGGACUGAGGAACGCAGCGUGCUUUUUGCGAAAGACUCGUCUUUUUCACGCUUAGGAUGCUGGUGGAAUGGCUUUAAACGACCCGUCUU